rnacentral:rRNA from 1 species
ACGUUUUUAUACUUUUACGAGUAUAUUUACGUGGCGUACAGGUGCGUAAUACAUAAGAAUCAACCUCUUAGACCGAAACAAACUUUAUUUUUAUAAAUAAAUUUCGGAUAUUGAAACGAUUUAGUCGCUUGGAGACGAGCUUAUGUAAGAUUACGGUAGAUGGUGGGGUAAAAGCUUACCAUGCCUAUGAUCUUUAGCUGGUUUGAGAGGAUGAUCAGCCACAUUGGGACUGAGAUAAGGCCCAGGCUUAUGCCAGCAGUGGGGAAUAUUGGACAAUAAGCGAAAGCUGGAUCCAGUAAUAUUGCGUUAGUGAGGACAGCACUAAAGAUUUAAGUGUAAAAACUUGAAUUAGCUGUAAAACUAUUUCGUUAGUGAGGAUAAUGACUGUAGCUAAAGAAGAAACUCCGGCCAACUUCGUGCCAGCAGCCGCGGUAAUACGAAGGGAGUGAGCGUUAUUCAUAAUGAUUGGGCGUAAAGGGUUCGUAGAUUGAUAAUUUAAUCUUUGGUGAAAUCUUAAGUAAAAUUAAAAGUGCCUUAGCUAUUAAUUAUCUAGAGUGAAUUAGAGGAUAACAGAAUUCCAUAAUUGAGGAGUAAAAUCCGUUGACCUAUGGAGGAAUGCCAGAGGCGAAAGCGGUUAUCUGGGAUAUCACUGACAUUGAGGAACGAAAGCGUGGGGAGCAAACAGGAUUAGAUACCCUGGUAGUCCACGCUGUCAAAGAUGAGUGCUAACAUUUGGUAAAAGUCAGAUGUAAAGUUAACACGUUAAGCACUCCGCCUGGGGAGUACGAUCGCAAGGUUGGAACUCAAAGGAAUUGACGGGGAUCUACACAAGUGGUGGAGCAUGUGGUUUAAUGCGAUAGUACACGCGAAACCUUACCAGUUCUUGAAUACAAUUAAAGUAUUGUUAAUAGCAAUAGUCUUAUAAAAAAAUUUUAAAUUUUUAAUAUUUUUGUACAGGUGUUGCAUGGCUGUCGUCAGCUCGUGCCGUGAGGUGUUUGGUUCAGUCCUUUAACGAGCGCAACUCUUAUAUCAAUGUUCGAAACACUUUUGCUAUCUAAAAAUAGUCUUAGUGUAAGCCAUUAUAAACAGCUAGUGACAAACUAGAGGAAGGCGAGAACGACGUCAAGCCCUUAUGGCCCUUAUGAACUGGGCUACACACGUGCUACAAAGAUAAUUACAAAAAGUUAUACAAUAAAGUGAUUUUGAGUCAAUCUUCAAAAAUUAUCGUGUACAGAUUGUAGACUGCAACUCGUCUACAUGAAGGUGGAAUCACAAGUAAUCGUAAAUCAGCAUGUUACGGUGAAUUUUGUACUUAGAUCUUGCACACACCGCCCGUCACAUGCUGGGAGCGGGUUUUGUUUGAAAUUGAAAAGCAAUUUUCGGUGAUUUAUCGUGACUGGGAAAC